GCUAAAAAGAAGUGCAGAACUGGUUCGAUCCUAUCUAAAAAGAAGUGCAGAACUGGUUCGAUCCUAUUUGGUUGAUCAAAGAGAAGAGAUGGCAA